UUCAAAAGUAGCCACAAAAACUUCUUAAACUUAAUGUUUUCAAACCCUCGAAAAGGACCAAGGGUUACAAUCAUAUUUCACCAAAAAGAAAAAAAAGCACACAUAAUUGACUUGUCAUUAAGGAGUUGAAGAAGGAACAAAACUAGGAUCAUCAACAGGAGCGGGUUUGACUUGAUUCGAAGGAAUUGGAACAUUUACCAUACCCACAUCGUCUUCAAUGUAUUCAGAAGUUUCAACUACGGGAGAAGGAAAAUCUUUGCACUGCUGAGUCUGUUCAAUAGUCUCUUUGAUUUUGGCCAACUCAGAUUCCAAAUUAAAAUUCUCCUAGCUCACUUCAACAAGGGUGUCAUGGCGAGAAUUUAAAAACUCCCAACUUACUUCAAUUGCUGUUUUGUCUUCAAGAAUCUCGUAAUCUCUUUCCCAAUCAGCAAUUUCACUUUUUAGCUUCUCAUUCUCAGCCAAGGCAAAAUCA
rnacentral:lncRNA from 1 species